UUCUUCUUUCUUCUCUCAGUUUCUUCUUCACUCUUCUUCUUCGAAAAGCACUGCCGCUCCUCCCAUUUUCACUUCAGAUUUUAGUCUUUUAAUUCAAAUCGAAGUACCACGCAACAUGAUUUUGUACUGCCACUGCCGUUAUUUUGGAUUCACCAGCAGGAAGAAGAAGUAUUAACUGAUGUACCAGCAAUUAGAUGGAGGUUGGAUUCUUAAAUGGUUUUCUUUUUGGAAGUAGGUCAGAAGAUGAACUGGUGAAGUAAUAAUUUCUUUCUAAGUCAUGCUUUAGAUAAUUAAUGCGGGGCUUUGGUUCCUAAUCUAAACCCGAGUUUUGGUUUGUAGUUACAACUUUCUUUGUAGUAUGAAAAUUCAGCUCUGAAUUAUGUUUUAGAUCCUGACUAGUUUGUUUUUUAUUUGUCAAAUUGUUGUUUGUGUGUAGGAUAUGAGAUGGCUGAGAUUAUGGUUUACUGUCAAAUGUCAUGACUCCUUCCUUUGUAUUGUAUACGCACAACUCAUUGGACGAAAGUCCCAACGGAAGAAGGGGUACUUCGUAGCUCAAGGUUGUAUCAAACCACUGUGCGAUCUUUUAAUCUGCCCUGAUGCUAGGAUUGUUACCGUCUGUUUGGAAGAUCUCGAGAAGGCUGAGAAGACCAUGGGAAACACUGAUGAGGAAGAGGGAUUGGAGAAGAUUGAAAACUUACAGAGUCACGCAACACUGAGAUAUAUGAGAAGGCAGUGAAAUUCUUGAGACUUACUGGGUGGAGGAGGAAGAUGAAAUGCCUCCUCUAAGUGAUGCUGCCCAAACAGAGUUCCAUUUUGGAGGGACCCAGCCCCAACUUCCUUCUGGUGGAUUUACCUUUGGCUGAAGGAGUGAGAGUACCUGUUGUGGAAAUUCGUCUCUAUACUGCACUAGCAAGAAUCCGACCCUUAAUCUAUAUGUUCGCAAAUUCAGAAUUCGUUGAUAGGCUUUUAACUUUGUUCUGCAGUUCAAAGACUUCAGAAAUCAUGAUGCUUUUGAGUUUUUCAAUCGUGAUAUACAGGAGACAACAUCUGUUGUGCUUGCAGGAUCUUUUCCGCCUUGAAGUUGGUUGUUGGGACUUGAGCUGACUAUGUAUUUUUGUUUCAUGGUUCUAGAGAGGUAAUCCAUCUAUCUCUACAAAAAUUUGACUUUAGUUAAUGAAAAACAGUCUUAUGAAAUAUAAUAGAUAGAAAAGAAAGGUGGCUUACAGAUGUCGUAAUGUCACAAUAACAUCUUACGUACUAUGCAUUUGUGUCACAGAGAAAAUGUAUGAUUCACAGAUUGAAAAUGUUUGAAUUACUGAUUGAAAAAGAGCAUAUUGAAAUUAUGUUACCAUUCGUCGAGGAGUUAUAGACCAGUAUUUUUAAGUGGAAAUUAUCAUUUAGUUUGAAA